GACAGAGGUGCCGAGCGUUAGGCGGAAUCACUGGGCUUAAAGCGUGUGUAGGCGGAUGCCUAAGUACCUUGUGAAAUCCCACGGCUCAACCGUGGAACUGCUUGGUAUACUGGGUGUCUUGAGCUAUCUAGGGGCAACUGGAACAAACGGUGGAGCGGUGAAAUGCGUAGAUAUCAGGAGGAACACCGGUGGCGAAGGCGGGUCUCUGGGCCGAUACUGACGCUGAGGAGCGAAAGCGUGGGGAGCGAACAGG
rnacentral:rRNA from 1 species